CCUACGGGAGGCAGCAGUGAGGAAUAUUGGUCAAUGGACGAGAGUCUGAACCAGCCAAGUAGCGUGAAGGAUGACUGCCCUAUGGGUUGUAAACUUCUUUUAUAUGGGAAUAAAAUGUUCUACGUGUGGGAUUUUCUAUGUAUCAUAUGAAUAAGGAUCGGCUAACUCCGUGCCAGCAGCCGCGGUAAUACGGAGGAUCCGAGCGUUAACCGGAUUUAGUUGGGUUAAAGGGUGCGUAGGUGGAUUUUUAAGUCAGUUGGGAAAGUUUGCGGCUCAACCGUCAAAUUGCAGUUGAAACUGGCAGUCUUGAUGACAGUAGGGGUGAGGGGAAUUCGUGGUGUAGCGGUGAAAUGCU
rnacentral:rRNA from 1 species